CACCUCCACCUCCAUAUCCGCGAUGUGGAAUGGGAGGUGGUGGUGGAAAAUGUAAAAGCAAUGAGUGUUGUAGUAUUUGGAGUUGGUGUGGAACAACAGAAAGUUAUUGUGCUCCGCAAAAUUGUCAAAGUCAAUGCAAAAAGAAUAUAAUCUCAUCCGUCAUGAAUCCAAUGAAUGUGACCUACGGCAUUGAAAGCUUCUAGAUCAACGUUGUUACCUUGUCACUACUCACUAUGUAUUCCCUAUAUAGCUAGUAGAGGAUAUAUAUGCCUCUUCUGGGACUGUUCGUCAAGUGAUUGAAUAAAAACGUGUGUAAUCAUCGUAUAUUAUAAAAUGCAUUAUUAAUUAGUAAUAUUACAAUAAAUAAAUUAAAG
rnacentral:misc_RNA from 1 species